AGAGUUUGAUCCUGGCUCAGAUUGAACGCUGGCGGCAUGCUUUACACAUGCAAGUCGAACGGCAGCACGGGUGCUUGCACCUGGUGGCGAGUGGCGAACGGGUGAGUAAUGCACCGGAACGUACCCAGUAAUGGGGGAUAACGCACCGAAAGGUGUGCUAAUACCGCAUACGCCCUGAGGGGGAAAGCGGGGGAUCGUAAGACCUCGCGUUAUUGGAGCGGCCGAUGCCGGAUUAGCUAGUUGGUGGGGUAAAGGCCUACCAAGGCGACGAUCCGUAGCUGGUCUGAGAGGACGACCAGCCACACUGGGACUGAGACACGGCCCAGACUCCUACGGGAGGCAGCAGUGGGGAAUUUUGGACAAUGGGCGAAAGCCUGAUCCAGCCAUGCCGCGUGAGUGAAGAAGGCCUUCGGGUUGUAAAGCUCUUUCGCAAGGAAAGAAAACUUAGCUACUAAUACUAGCUGAGGAUGACGGUACCUUGAUAAGAAGCACCGGCUAACUACGUGCCAGCAGCCGCGGUAAUACGUAGGGUGCGAGCGUUAAUCGGAAUUACUGGGCGUAAAGCGUGCGCAGGCGGUUCGAUAAGUCUGAUGUGAAAUCCCCGGGCUCAACCUGGGAACUGCGUUGGAAACUGUCGGGCUAGAGUGUAGAAGAGGGGGGUAGAAUUCCACGUGUAGCAGUGAAAUGCGUAGAGAUGUGGAGGAAUACCGAUGGCGAAGGCAGCCCCCUGGGCUAACACUGACGCUCAUGCACGAAAGCGUGGGGAGCAACAGGAUUAGAUACCCUGGUAGUCCACGCCCUAAACGAUGUCUACUAGUUGUUGGUGGAGUAAAUCCAUUAGUACGCAGCUAACGCGUGAAGAAACCGCCUGGGGAGUACGGUCGAAGAUAAAACUCAAAGGAUUGACGGGA
rnacentral:rRNA from 1 species